UACGUAGGUGGCAAGCGUUGUCCGGAUUUACUGGGCGUAAAGAGCGCGCAGGCGGUCGUCCAAGUCGCGUGUGAAGGCCCCCGGCUCAACUGGGGAGGGUCACGCGAUACUGAUCGACUCGAAGGCAGGAGAGGGUAGUGGAAUUCCCGGUGUAGUGGUGAAAUGCGUAGAUAUCGGGAGGAACACCAGUGGCGAAGGCGACUACCUGGCCUGUUCUUGACGCUGAGGCGCGAAAGCUAGGGGAGCAAACGGG
rnacentral:rRNA from 1 species